AUACUUACCUUAAGACGUCAGUGGAGAUCAAGAAGUCUGACUGACCUGGUAUGCUUUUUUAAAGGAUGCUUCACUGUCAAGAGGUUUAAGUACAUUUUCGGAUGUGCUUGUCACCUCUUCAUGACGCUUUACCUGUGGAGUUCCUUUGCAAUUUUUCACAUAUUUGCGAAAGGUGUACCUGCUGACGUUUCAUUCUCUCGUUCGUUGUUAGAAGCUGGGAGGCCUUGUGCCUCUUGGCUCUGACAAUGGGCCCUUUUUUCUUCUGCCUGGAGAAGCAGUGUGCUGAUUACAACUCAGCAUUGGGAGAACUGGGGUUUCUGGGCUAUUAAAGGUACAUUUCCAGAAUUGAACGAUUCCUGGCAUUUGCUUGCUUCUAUUGCCAUUGGUCUUUCGAGGCUGACGCGAUACGAUGCUGCUUUGCUUGUUGAAGGGGUUUCAUGGGAUUUGUCCUAGUUCUGGGAAUCUUGGUAGAAACGGGUGGGUCUUAUAAUUUUUGAUUUCUUUC
rnacentral:snRNA from 1 species